rnacentral:rRNA from 1 species
CAGCCGCCGCGGGAAUACGAAGGGGGCUAGCGUUGUUCGGAGUCACUGGGCGUAAAGGGUGCGUAGGCGGGCAUUUAAGUCAGGGGUGAAAUCCCGAGGCUCAACCUCGGAACUGCCCUUGAUACUGGGUGUCUUGAGUCCGGAAGGGGUGAGUGGAACUGCGAGUGUAGAGGUGAAAUUCGUAGAUAUUCGCAAGAACACCGGUGGCGAAGGCGGCUCACUGGUCCGGAACUGACGCUGAGGCACGACAGCGUGGGGAGCAAACAGGAUUAGAGACCCGUGUAGUCCCUGUCUCUUAUAC